GAGGCUGGGGCUUAGUGGUAGAACACUCAUCUAGCAUGAGAGAGGCCCUGGGUUCAGUCCUCAGUGCCACA
rnacentral:tRNA from 1 species